AUGAUGAACUCGUUCUUCGGGCCGGUGGACGGGGUCCCAGGCCUCAUAAUGGCGUGGCUUCUGCUCUUGAUGCCUAUUGUGGGGUUCUUGGCGGCAAUCGCAGUGAUCCUCUGGAGCGCCUGCGGCGGCGAGCGGGCGGCGGAAGCGAACGCACCCGGGCGACGAUUGGGCCGAUUGGCCGAGGUGAUGGAGGCCAUUGAACGGGCGCAGCAGAUGAGGCCGGCCACGGUGGCGUCAGAGCCGGUGGCGCCGGCGCCGGCGGUGGAGCUGGGGUACUUCCCGUACUCGGCGGAGGGCAGGCGGGCGUCGGAGAGGCUGGUGUGCGCCAUCUGCCUGGAGGAGUUCCAGCAGGGGCAGCCGUGCAGCGAGGUGCCGGCGUGCCGGCACGUCUUCCACCGCUACUGCAUCGACGUGUGGAUGAAGAGCAAGGCCACCUGCCCGCUGUGCAGAAGGAGUGUCGUGGCCGGGUUAGAACGAGUAUCGGCUGCCGAUGACAUGGUUUAG
rnacentral:rRNA from 1 species